UGCCCUAGUAACGGCGAGUGAAGCGGCAACAGCUCAAAUUUGAAAGCUGGCCUUCGGGUCCGCAUUGUAAUUUGUAGAGGAUGCUUUGGGUGAAACGCCAGUCUAAGUUCCUUGGAACAGGACGUCAUAGAGGGUGAGAAUCCCGUAUGUGACUGGAAAUGUUAACCUAUGUAAAGCUCCUUCGACGAGUCGAGUUGUUUGGGAAUGCAGCUCUAAAUGGGAGGUAAAUUUCUUCUAAAGCUAAAUAUUGGCGAGAGACCGAUAGCGCACAAGUAGAGUGAUCGAAAGAUGAAAAGCACUUUGGAAAGAGAGUUAAAAAGCACGUGAAAUUGUUGAAAGGGAAGCGCUUGCAAUCAGACUUGUUUAAACUGUUCGGCCGGUCUUCUGACCGGUUUACUCAGUUUGGACAGGCCAGCAUCAGUUUCGGCGGCCGGAUAAAGGCUCUGGGAAUGUGGCCUUCACUUCGGUGAAGGUGUUAUAGCCCAGGGUGUAAUACGGCCAGCCGGGACUGAGGUCCGCGCUUCGGCUAGGAUGCUGGCGUAAUGGUUGUAAGCGACCCGUCUUGAAACACGGACCAAGGAGUCUAACAUCUAUGCGAGUGUUCGGGUGUCAAACCCCUGCGCGUAAUGAAAGUGAACGGAGGUGGGAACCGCAAGGUGCACCAUCGACCGAUCCUGAUGUCUUCGGAUGGAUUUGAGUAAGAGCAUAGCUGUUGGGACCCGAAAGAUGGUGAACUAUGCCUGAAUAGGGUGAAGCCAGAGGAAACUCUGGUGGAGGCUCGCAGCGGUUCUGACGUGCAAAUCGAUCGUCAAAUUUGGGUAUAGGGGCGAAAGACU
rnacentral:rRNA from 1 species